ensembl:lncRNA
AGAAGGGAGACACGCAGCCCGCGACCUUGUCAGAGCCCCGAGGAGACUGUGAAUAAUUCCCUUUGAGCCGCAGGAAGAAGGUUUCCUAUUGCCGGGUGGUGGAGGUGCGGUGGGGGGGAGACUUAAGGAAAAUGAUGUGUUACCGGUCUGGAGUUCAAGAGAAAAAAAAAAAAUCAGACAAAGGAUGCAAUAUCAACAUUGGCCGUGGACUUUGUCUUAAGUGUUAGCAGGAUUGUCAUCUUCUUCCUGUUGCCAGGUGGACCAACGUGAUGGAUCGGCCGCAGAAAACCCACUCUGGUCCCCAAGUUUGUAAAGACCAUUUUUUUCCCCACUUCACAUCCAUCGAAAACAGAGAAACGUAAAGAAUGGGUUGUUUUCAUGGCUGAAGCAUGUUAUCAGUAUUCUGCCUCGGAUUUCUGCUUGUUUUUUUGGGCUCAUUUUUGUACAUGUAACACUUUUCUGCUGAAUGGAUGCAACUGUAUUUGAGACAUUGCACAGUAUUUUCACUGUUGAAACAAUAACGCUGCCACAUCUGUCUUAAAGUACAAGACAAAUUGAACAUACCAUAUCCUUUCAAUCUAAAGCAUUAUUCAUCACUUGGAGGCAGAGCCUAAAACUGCUAAGCAUGAAGUAGCAGACAUGAGAAAUUAUAUUCCUGUCCUCUCAAAUAUAUUUCACUUGGCAUACUGUGAGCAAAGCUCUCCAAGUGGUGUCAACGCCAAGUAGCAAAGCUGUAGAAAUGACCUCAAAGAUACUGCUUAAGAAAAACGAUGCCAUCUAAGAGCUGAUAAGAGCUACAAGCAUUGGAAUGGAUCAAUCGUGCAAAAGGAAGAGCACUCAGUCAUGGGUACUGUUUAAUUAAUGAUGGUGGCUAGAGAUAGGCUGUUCACUCCAUAUUGUCAGUCAGACACUGACUGCACAGGGUGGCAAUAUGAGCUUUGUAACUGAUACACGAAACAGAAGGAACUAAUCCAUACUCUCCAGUCGAGUACCAUUAAUGUUUUGUAAAGAGGGCUGCUGCAUGACACGUGCAAUUUUUUAAUUUCCUCUGAAUUCAAAAGACCCAGAGUUAAUGAAUACAUUUUAAUGAAUUCCAGAAAGAUUUUUCGAGCUCCUUUGGAUUGUGAAAAAAUUGUUUGUUAUCUUGUCCGCUGUUGUUUUAUUUCAUUGACAG